rnacentral:rRNA from 1 species
UUGGGAAUAUUGGACAAUGGGGGAAACCCUGAUCCAGCAAUGCCGCGUGGGUGAUGAAGGCCUUCGGGUUGUAAAGCCCUUUUGGCGGGGACGAUGAUGACGGUACCCGCAGAAUAAGCCCCGGCUAACUUCGUGCCAGCAGCCGCGGUAAUACGAAGGGGGCUAGCGUUGUUCGGAAUUACUGGGCGUAAAGGGCGCGUAGGCGGCCGUGCAAGUCAGAUGUGAAAGCCCUGGGCUCAACCCAGGAGGUGCAUUUGAUACUGCAUGGCUAGAGUGUCGGAGAGGAUGGUGGAAUUCCCAGUGUAGGGGUGAAAUUCGUAGAUAUUGGGAAGAACACCGGUGGCGAAGGCGACCAUCUGGACGACAACUGACGCUGAGGCGCGAAAGCGUGGGGAGCAAACAGGAUUAGAUACCCUGGUAGUCCACGCCGUAAACUAUGCGUGUUGGACGUUGGCGAGCCUAGCUCGUCGGUGUCGCAGCUAACGCGUUAAACACGCCGCCUGGGGAGUACGGCCGCAAGGUUA